GAUGGCGUAUCAGAGUGCUGGAACCGCGGAUUGUCUGUAAAAAGAUGCUGUUUCUAGUACUGCCAUAAAAUACAGUACUGGACAAAAAAGCAGUACAGCAAGAUAUCCUUCACAGAUGACACCCAGAAUUAUAGGAUAGCGGUUAAUGUAAACGACAGUUCUGGAUAUUGACUUAUCUGGUAAGAGACAGGAAUGCAUAAUCAUCUCAUAAAUAUCAUUGAUUAUGAUUACUUUUAUAGGAGGUGCAUCAUGCUGCAAGCAUAUAUGGAAAAUCAGAUACAGUAAUUCAUGAGUAGUAUUGUAACCUCCUACACAGCUGUUAAAAAAUAAAGAUACUGGAAUGGCC